rnacentral:rRNA from 1 species
UGGGGAAUAUUGGACAAUGGGCGAAAGCCUGAUCCAGCCAUGCCGCGUGUGUGAAGAAGGUCUUCGGAUUGUAAAGCACUUUAAGUUGGGAGGAAGGGCAUUAACCUAAUACGUUAGUGUUUUGACGUUACCGACAGAAUAAGCACCGGCUAACUCUGUGCCAGCAGCCGCGGUAAUACAGAGGGUGCAAGCGUUAAUCGGAAUUACUGGGCGUAAAGCGCGCGUAGGUGGUUUGUUAAGUUGGAUGUGAAAGCCCCGGGCUCAACCUGGGAACUGCAUCCAAAACUGGCAAGCUAGAGUACGGUAGAGGGUGGUGGAAUUUCCUGUGUAGCGGUGAAAUGCGUAGAUAUAGGAAGGAACACCAGUGGCUAAGGCGACCACCUGGACUGAUACUGACACUGAGGUGCGAAAGCGUGGGGAGCAAACA